UUCGCGUCAAUCUCCGCGGUGGCGCGCGCCCGAGAACACAGCUGCGGUGGGGCCAGGCAGAGCAGAGGAGGCGGUGUGCGCCACCAGGUCACGCCCCUGGGCUGGGCGUCAUCUUAAGCCCGCCUCCUCCAUGAGGGUCAGUAGGCUUCCGGGGCUUCGGGGCUCCUCGGUAGUUGGAGUCAGGGCCGAGGAGACAGAAGCUCACUGCCCCGGCGCGUAAGGCGGCGGAAGCCCGGCUACUUGGGAACGCAGCCCGCAUACAAGGGUGAUGCCGGAAUAGGCCCGCCACCUCGAGGCCAAGCAGCGUGGGGUCGCGGAGGUUUAGCAGCUCCCGCAGGGCGAGCAGCACCGGCGCGCACUGAACACUUUCCUCCAGGCCCUGAGCACAUCGGGGUAGGUCUCGCGCCGGCCUUCGGCCCCCACCCAACCACUGAGACUCCCACCCAUCUGGUCGCCCAACGAGCUCUCACCAAACCAAGGAAAAGCUCCCGAAGCUGGGCGGCAUCGUGCCGCAGGCGCUCGGCCGCCUGGGUCCGCUCGUCGGCACCGCGGCACACUAGGCGACCCUGCAUCAGCGCGCCCUCACCUGGAGCUCCACCAGGAGAGCCUCCAACACGAGGCGGCAGAUCCUCCUCUGCAACUCGUCCAGCGCUGCCUCCACUGGAGCCAUAGCCCCUGAAGCCACCCCGUCGGGCUGCAGGACGGACACGGAGGAGCUGGACCGACCAAAAGUACAGCUUCAGGACCAAGGCCAAGGCCCACAUGGCCCUCCGUCGUCUAGCCAAUCCGGCGCCACCUAGUGGCAGAACCCCAUUCCAAAGAACAUAAGAGGAAGUCAAGAGGAAGGGAAUUUUUUUUCGUUGUUCACAACUGUAACCCUAGACAUUAUCUGGCACAGGUAGGGCCUUGGAUCUACAGGCAGGGAUGGGCAGCCAUCGGCAGAGUCUUAGGCCUGCCCUCCUCCCUUUUCCCUGUGGGGGCUGCCCAUCUGCCUCACCACUUCCCAUCCACCUGCAGCACAAUGGCCGGCAUUGGUAUGACUGCACCACCGACUGUGAGAGAGAGGCAGCCAGUGAGUCCUGGUCAGUCCUGCAGCCCACUCCCAGCACUCUUGCUCCCUGCCUGAUGCCCACCUUGAUGCGUGCUUCCAGGGAGCAGGUACGCUGCACCUCACGGCUGCGAUAUUGGCUCAGCCUGGCCAGCUGCUCCGGCCGGUAGAAGAUGCCUGAGGCCCACUUGAGUGCUGCACCUCGGGCCAGCCGUUCCGCCCUCUCCUGCUCCGGCCACUCAGGCCCUGGGCAGGAAGAGCCUGGGCAGCCACGUCAGUUGGGCAGGGCCUGCAGGAAGUGGCCGCCGAACCUGCUCCCCUUCCUACUCCUCGGCCUGUCCCCCAGGGCAGUCUGCUCCCACUCACUACCCUACAGAGCUCCAGCCAGACCUGGCAGGGAGGACCCAACCACACCAUUCCCAUCUUUCUUGCCACCAUCCCUCCCACAGUCCACCCAGAGGGCUCAUACCAGGGAGAAGUGCGGGCUGCAUUUCGUCCUUGGCUGCUGAGUCCAUGGCAGGCCCUGGAGCUGAGCCUUGGCCUUGAGGAUGGCCAGCUCCCCCAGACCUCAUAGCAGAGUUGGACACUCCCUCCACUGGCUCACGAGGCCUGGGUGGCAGCAGAAUUCUUCUCCCCAAGGAAGCCUCUGUCCCACCUCCCUGCCCAGGAGCCCUCUCCUCUCUCCAAGGCCCCUCCCUCCCCAAGGCCACAUGCAGAAAGGAAGGAAGCUGAGUCUUUGGCGCUUUAUUCCCAACAGGAAAGAACAUUUGCACUGUGGGAUGGGGUGGGGAGGGCUGGGCGCCACUUCCUUGGGGGGAGGGGAGUGUACACCCUGUGAUUCUCAAGUCUUGACCAGCCCACCUAGGACCUCUUAGUGCUCAGGACACAGACAUACACUCUAUGGCCCCAGCCUGGAGUGGAGAGUGGGGUGUGCAAAUAUGGAUGCAGACAACAAUAUCACAAAAUGAAAACUGUUGAAGGGCCUCUGAGAGGAGGGUGUAUGCCUCUGCAGAGGAGAGACCACAGGCGGUUGUGAAGAAGGUGUGCGGUGGGGGAUGGCAGGAGAUGGGUGGAAGAGCUAUGAAAGCUGUUUUUAUCUCAAGAGUUAAGGGGGCCCAUGGAAGGGACUAAAUAGUAGUAAUAAUGCAGUGGAGUCUGGUGCACACUCAAAUCCACUCUUCAGGACAAAGGAACUCAUUCCCCUAGCUGCCAGGAGUAUAGGCUGCUGAGGUCUCAUAGCUGAGUCUCUUGGUCAAUGUUAGGGCACAAAGGCUGGGUACCCUUGCCUGGACGUGGAAUGCCUUGGAAGGGCCACCCCAGUGUCACAGGUCCUAGCAGGGUAGGCUGAGGCCUCCAUUAUAACUGCAUCACAGUUUAAUUCCCCUCUUUGCCCCAUUCUGCUUGUCUUACUCCCUUGCAAGUGUGGAUCCUCAAUAAACUUCCUGCAGGCAGA